UGGGGAAUAUUGCACAAUGGGGGAAACCCUGAUGCAGCGACGCCGCGUGAACGAAGAAGGUAUUCGUAUCGUAAAGUUGUGUCCUAUGGGAAGAUAAUGACAGUACCAUAGAAGAAAGCUCCGGCUAAAUACGUGCCAGCAGCCGCGGUAAUACGUAUGGAGCGAGCGUUGUCCGGAAUUAUUGGGCGUAAAGGGUACGCAGGCGGUUUAAUAAGUCGAAUGUUAAAGAUCGGGGCUCAACCCCGCAAAGCAUUGGAAACUGAUAAACUUGAGUAGUGGAGAGGAAAGUGGAAUUCCUAGUGUAGUGGUGAAAUACGUAGAUAUUAGGAGGAAUACCAGUAGCGAAGGCGACUUUCUGGACACAAACUGACGCUGAGGUACGAAAGCGUGGGGAGCAAACAGG
rnacentral:rRNA from 1 species